GUGAGGAAUUUUCCGCAAUGGGCGAAAGCCUGACGGAGCAAUGCCGCGUGAAGGAUGAAGGCCUAUGGGUUGUAAACUUCUUUUCUCAGAAAAGAAUUAUGACGGUAUCUGAGGAAUAAGCAUCGGCUAACUCUGUGCCAGCAGCCGCGGUAAGACAGAGGAUGCAAGCGUUAUCCGGAAUGAUUGGGCGUAAAGCGUCUGUAGGUUGUUUAAAAAGUAUUCUGUCAAAGAUUAGGGCUUAACCCUAGAUAGGCAGAAUAAACUUUUAAGCUAGAGUUUGGUAGAGGCAGAGGGAAUUCCCGGUGGAGCGGUGACAUGCGUAGAUAUCGGGAGGAACACCAAAGGCGAAGGCACUCUGCUGGGCCAAUACUAACACUGAGAGACGAAAGCGAGGGGAGCAAAUGGGAUUAGAUACCCUGGUAGUCC
rnacentral:rRNA from 1 species